GAACAAACGAGCUAAGAGAAAUGUAGUUAAAUUUUUAGUAAAUUAUACUCUUCAGCUGCGCAUGGUGGCUCAUGCCUGUAAUCCUAGCAACCCAGGAGGCUGAGGUGGGAGAAUCACUUAAGCCCAGAAAUUCGAGACUGCAGUAAGCUAUGAUAGUACCACUGCACUCUAGGCCUAGGGGACAGAGCAAGACCCUGUCUUAAAAAAUAUACAUUAAAAAAUAAUUAGAAAGUCUUUUUAGUGCUUGAUGAACCUGAGAAAUGGGAGCUCCAUUUCUGGGUAAGUGGUGAUUUCUUUUUUUUUUUUUUUUUUUUGACGUAAGUGGCGAUUUCUAAACAUGUCCUCAUUUAGAUGACAUCAUUCUUGUGUGAAUUGGUCUUGUUUUCUGAACCUGGCUUUCUGCUUAAAGCAAAAUUGGGGUUCACUCCAGUGAUAUGAACACAAGCCAUAUAUAAUUCAGAGAAUGUACACCAUUUUUGUAAAAGUGCUCUCUUCCUUUUCAAGUCAUGCUAAGGAUAACUGCAAGGAUGUUCCAGCACUUGGAAGGCCUCAAAGGAGGGGGAAGGAACUGACUCUAAGAGUAAAAGGUUGAAUGAUUGUCAGGCGAGGGGCCAAGGGAAAGGGGAACACAUCUGCCAACUCUCCACUCCCCAUCCAAGUGCUCCAACUUCCCAUCCACCGCCAAGACACAUUUUAUUUUUCUGACAUGAAAUAUGUAUAUAAUUCUAGCCUGAGUUUUUAAAGCACAAGAGGGUUGAUUCUGUUUAUGCUUCCCUCUACUCCCACCCAGUGCAAACAUUGGCCUCCAGCCUGGUGAUGACGACAGGACCUAGCAAACAGAAUCCAAGAGCCAGGAAGUAGAUGGCUAAGAGGUGUCACCUUCUAAGUGAUAUCACUUGGAUACUGAAACGUCUCCAUGAACUGGAAGAAUAUAUGCUUCAGUGUGGGACAUGGAUGAAUCUGGAAAACAUCAUCCUCAGCAAACUGACACAAGAACAGAAAUUGAAACACCGCCUAUUCUCACUCAUAGGCGG
rnacentral:lncRNA from 1 species